CUAGAUGAUUUCUUCAUGAAAUUCUCUAUCAGGCUCGGUGAUUGCAUAUCUUAACGAGUGGAAUCAUAGAACAAAGGCAAAUCAAUGUCUUGUUCUUCAUCAUCUCAAUUAUCGUUCUCCAAGAAAGAGAGUCAACUAUGGUGGAAUUUUUAAUGAGUUGAUCAUGGCAUCUUCAUCUUCAAACCAAUUCUAUCUCUCUCUCUCUCUCUUUAAAAGCUCUACUGUUUCUUCAUCUGAUUUUGAAGAUGACAGAGAGGAAGGCCAUCCACUUUAACUUCAGAAAUUUCUAUUUGAGAGAGAUAGUUAAAAGUUAAGAUUUUUUUUUUUUCAUUCGGAUCAGUCGCGCAAUUAAAAAAAUAUAUCGUAUUAUUUAUCACGUGAUAUUUGAUGUGAUAUUGAACUAAUAUUUGAAUCAAUAGCAGUAUAUCAUGUAUUAAUAA
rnacentral:lncRNA from 1 species